GAUGAAGAACGUAGCGAAAUGCGAUAAGUAAUGUGAAUUGCAGAAUUCAGUGAAUCAUCGAAUCUUUGAACGCACCUUGCACCCUUUGGCAUUCCGAAGGGUAUGCUCGUUUGAGUGUCAUUGUACUCUCACUCUCCCGAUGCUUUUGGAUCGGGAGUGGUGGACUUGGGUGUUGCUGCUUUGCUGUGGCUCGCCUCAAAUGGAGUAGUGCAACUCUUGGUUGGACAUAGUACGGCGUGAUAAGUGUCUUCGCCGGCGCCUCAUUAUAGAGGGUGGCCGAUCGGGAGCUCUGUGCUUCAAACCGUCUUCGGACAACAUCUGACAACUUGACCUCUAAUCGAGUAGGACUACCCGCUGAACUUAAGCAUAUCAAUAAGCGGAGGA
rnacentral:misc_RNA from 1 species